rnacentral:rRNA from 1 species
UACGUAGGCAGCGAGCGUUGUUCGGAGUUACUGGGCGUAAAGGGUGUGUAGGCGGUUCUCUAAGUUUGGUGUGAAAUCUCCCGGCUCAACCGGGAGGGUGCGCCGAAAACUGGAGGGCUAGAGUGCGGGAAGGGAGAGUAGAAUUCCUGGUGUAGCGGUGAAAUGCGCAGAUAUCAGGAGGAACACCGGUGGCGAAGGCGGGUCUCUGGGCCGUAACUGACGCUGGAGGAGCGAAAGCAUGGGGAGCGAACAGG